AGAGAUAAAAAAGGCAGGCGUUCAUUCAAGCUAAGCCAGAAUUAGCUCAUGUCAUACAAGAAAGGCUGCGAGAAAGUGAUAUGACAGUACCCGGCUCUAAAUUCUAGUUUUGUCACUAGUUUAUCUUGAACACACAGUUCCUGAAGUCUGAGUAUGGGACGUUUCAUUCAAUACACAGCACCUGUCAGGCAUUCGUUCACUUUGGAUGGAUUAUUCACCUGCAUUUGGUGUGAAUAUUACAGCACUGUACUGUUCAAUGAAACCUGGCCAGAGGAAUCGAUAGACUUCUCCAAGACUUUGUUCCUUGUAACUGUGUAAUGGGGGAGAAAUCCCCAAUGCCUGAGUGCAGGAAGGGGAGAGGCCCCAGUCUUGUGUAUCGAUCCUAUAGCACAGACUUGAGGUUAGUCUUUGAUCUCGGGAGAGGGCGAGGAUUAGUAUUUCUCACCUUUAAGAGAAGCAGAGAGAAAUGGGAAAGACACGUGAUUCCUGCCUCGGAGACACAGGAGAAAUAGAUUGACGUCCCACAGAGAAAAGUCUCUUCCCGAUGGGGUUUCCCCUGGGAUGGAAUGCACACGUUCAUCCAACCUCCGUCUGCCGGAGCAGUCAUCUAUCAUUCUACAUUCUACCGUGCAACUGCUUCUUCACAAAAUGGAAACGAACCUGCCACAACGACCUGCAUAAAGAUUUCUGAUUAACAUCAGCUUCCUUUUGCACGUUCAAUAUGCAUGAUAGUGAGGAUAGUUUUGUUCGGUUGAGCUUAUGAGCUCUCUGAGGCAAAAGUAAGUCUCUGUCAGACUGCAGGUGUUUAUCUAUAAUCAGCUCAUAAUGAAUGAGAUCUAUUCCUAGAGAGAGAUUCCUGAUCCUUCUUGGAGAUACUUGAUAUAUAUAUAUUGGAGAGAUAUGUUAUAUGAAUCUGCAGCUUUUAUUAUACCAAAUCUGUUCCUCUCCUCACAGAAUAAAGCUUUCCGUUACUUCGUUCUUCCUCACUGUCGCUCUCCGUCCCUCAACAAAACAUCCGAAAAGAAUAA